AUCGUCUUUGUCAUCCAUUUCAUGAUAAUGAUCUGGGUUUUCGUUUACCUGUCCGUAUACUUAGCAUGUUUACCUUACCAAAAGGAUUUUAAAGAGCUCGUCUAGCUUACUCAAACCUGGCUAAGUUGGGGGAACUUGGUCAAUACUUCAACGUACUCCUAGAUGCAAUCAGUUUUGCAUAUCAAUGGUAAACUCAUUUGAUGCGUGAAAUCAUGAUGAGCUAUCCACCUCUAGAUAGAGCUUCUGUGACUCUUCUAAGUCUGUUUGUGCUAGAAAUAUUUGGGGAAGAUUGAAACCCAACCCAGUUUUCUUGAAAAAUUUAGCUUUUGGCUCGAGCAUCUUGUCUAACACAUAUCCACCUUUUCUGUUUCUCUAUCCCACUCAUUAUACUAUAUAUCAUGUACUAUGUUACAAUUAUCACAUUGCCUAGUAUUUGUGUGUGGAAACCUAAAUGGAGAUAAAGAGUUCCAGGUGUACACAGAGGCUGGUAGACACUAGUGUAUUCAAGUCUUAAUUCACAAUGAUAUGCAUCUAAUGGUCCAGUGAACAUGUCAUACUUUGUAUGAUAUUAAUAAAAUGGGUUAUAUGACUGAUUUUCAUGAAGGCAGACACUUGUGCAUUUAAGUCAUAAUUCACAAUGAUAUGCAUCUAAUGGUCCACUGAACAUGUCAUGCUAAUGUUAUGCUGUGUAUGCUAUUAAUAAAAUGGGGGUUUUGAAUGAUUUUCAUGAAUUCUAUUUAACAGAAAACCACUAUUUGAUAAGGUCUUGUUAUGUCCAAUCAUUUUUCCUUUUGUACUUAUUUCAUCAUGGUUCUAUCAUCUUUAUUUGGCUUAAAUGAUUUCAGAUAUCAGGUGGUUGGAGACACACUAUGGCAAUCACAUCUGAUGGAAAACUUUAUGGCUGGGGAUGGAAUAAGGUCGAUAUACCUAUACAGCAAAGCCAUCCACGGUACAGUUCAAACAUUGGAGAUAAGGAUCCAUAGGCCUCUGGCACAUACAUAUUUUGACUAGAUGGCACUCCUUAAACAGCUGCUUCAAGAUUGGUACCCUUGAAUAUUGUGCGAGGACCUAUAGUUGAUGAAGUUCAUCAACAAUUCAAUCUAUGGAUUUAUCAAGUUCUCUACCUUUUAUUCACCUAUCAAAUGAUCAUUUCAUCAAGAUUAAUUUAUAAUGUAGCUUAAUAGGAUUCUUUAUUAAAAAACAUCUCUAGUGUUUCAGAGUCAUAAAAAUUUUAUCCCUUUCUAUUUAAAUAAUUUAGAAAUUAUUUCAUUAUACUGUUCCUUUCGAGACCUCUAGACCCAAAAUGAUGGUGAAUAGAAACAUCUACCACAAUCAUUUCUUUGAGUCCCAAGCCAACGCAUAAUAUGAUGGAAGAAUCAACUAAGUAAUUGUACAUAUAACAGCAAGGGAUACAAGAGAAUGUGCAGUAGAGCCACCUCCAAAACAUACAGGACUAUGAAAAUAUAUUAUAAGAUAUUAGGACUUUUGAUGAGACUACAAUGAAAUAAAUAUAGAUAUAGUAAUGUUUUUCAGUCAUUGUUUCUCAUGGUUUAUUUUUCAAAUGUUUGCAGCCUUCUUUGAUACAUUGGUCAUGUUGAAUUGUGUUGGAAGAUAUCAAUAACAAUAUAGAACUGAGAGAUGUUUGCUUUAGCUACCCUACAAGACUUGACAUUCAUGUAUUUUCUAGGUUCUCAUUGCAUGUUCCAAGCGACAUAACUGUGGAUCUAGUUGGAGAGAGCGGCAAUGGGAAGUCGAUUGUGAACAGCCUGUUGGAGAGGUUCUAUGACCCCCAAGCUGGUGAAGUGCUCAUAGAUGGCAUCAACUUGAAGAAGCUGCAGCUUGUUAGCCAAGAGCUCAUCUUAUUCACAAUUACUAUAAAGGAGAAUAUCGCAUAUUGUAAGGCAGGUGCUACAUUGGAAGAAACUAGAACAGUAACUGAGAUUGCUAAUGCUGCAAGGUUUAUAGACAAGAUGCCACAAGUCGCUUGUACUUUUUUUUAUAAAUUCAUACUACUCUCUCAAAGAUGUUGUGGGUGAAAGGCUAGGAAAGGAAGACAUUAGUAGUUUUUUUUGAUAAAUUAAUUAUUUUGUUGACAUUAUGCUGA